CCGCCGGUGGCAAGCGGAUGCGGCCGGCGCUGGCGCUGCUCGCGGCCCGGUUCGGCCCCGAGCCGGACGGCC
rnacentral:tRNA from 1 species